rnacentral:misc_RNA from 1 species
AGAAAAGAAAAGAAAAGAAAAAAGAUUGAUACUCAAUUCCUUCCAAUUGCAUAUAAUAUUAUGUCAACUAUGUAAUUUUUUUGCUUUGGGAAUAUAAGGUGACUUAGGUUAUAUUCCCCUGACCCAUGAUUACAUGUGGUUUGUGGUGGAUUAUAUCCUUCCAUGUAAAUUAGUCUAUAAUUCAAAUGGAUUGAGGCCACUUUGGCUUAGUUAAAAAGGAAAAAGGGAAAACAGAAAAGAAAAGAUAGAAACUUCAGAAGAGUAAUGGACUUAAAUUUUACCUUUCCUUUCCACAGUUAGUGAUCAGGGAGAACUAAAUGUCAUUCCAAAUGUUGAAAUUGAAGAAAGUGGAAUGAUUGCAUUCCGUAGACUAGUGUGAGAACUUUGGCGAAGAAAUUGUACUGCUUUUUUAUUUCACUUGGUAGUUAGGUCUUCCAGUGAUCUUUAGGGAAGAGAAACAUGUAUGGGAUUCAUUCAUCAAGUUAGCCUCCGUUAUAUCAAUUAGCACUGUCUUUAUUAUCAUUAUUAUAGUUUUAGCUGUUAUGGUGGUUGUUAAAGUGAGCCUCAUGUUGAGCUGGAUUCUGGUUAAAGAAUUACAACCUUGUAACACUAUCAUGCUAAAAAGUUGGAAAAAUAAUGGGAAAAAAAUGUUGUGAUGAUGCCCCAUAUAUUGGGUAGACAUGAUGGAAUUAGAUAAUUUUAGAAGGUGAACAGAUGAUAUAACAAGGGCCUGGUUAGAUAUUUAUUUUGAUGUGCUAGUAAUACACGUAGUAUUUUGCAUUUAAGUUGUGGACUUCAAAAAGGGGAGGUGGGACAAGGGGAAAUUCAAGGAGAGUAAGAUAGAAUACACAUGGCCCAGUGUUAAGAUUUCCUUUCCUAGUUUUGUGCGCCCAAACCAGGUUUCGUCAUUGAAUCCUUAUUACACUGUUAUGGUUGUUAAAGUUAUUCAUCCUAUGCUUUGUCAUUCACGAGGCUAUUCUUGUUUGAAGAUUGAAGAAAUCUAUUAAGGAAGUAUUGCUAUGAAAAAAAAAAUUUCAGUUAAUUGUGCUCAAUAGCUAGUCCUUUUGUGAUUUCCUUUUUCUACAACUUUGCAUUCUGGUUGAUUAUUUGUGCGUUUUCUUUUGAAAAAAAUAAAAGCCAAAAGCUUUAACUGUAAUAUAUUACUCCUAAAAUUUUUUUAUGAAGGUUUGGCAAUUAUAUAUGCUACUGAUUAAAGUGGCUUUUUCUUUAUUUCCUAUUUAUGUACUGAUAGUUCUCAUGCUGCAUGUUUUUUUCCUUUCAGGAUUUGGUGUUCAAUUCUAACUUCUUUUCUUCAAUAAAAUGUGUCUUCUUGCCACAGGUUUGACAGCAAAAGAUUUU